AACGUAUCCCAUGAUUCCUGCCUCUUUCUCAUGACCCAUCUUCGCAAAAGCAUCUGUGCAAAAAUUUCUUUCUCUGAAGAUAUGCUUAAUUAUGAAUUUGUUCAACCUUGUGAGAAUCUCCUUAAUUGAUCUAAUAAGUGAAGAGCUAGCAUGGAGAUCAAUUGAGGGCUUUCCUAUAAGGUUCAUAGCACACAUAGAGUCUGAUUCUACCAUUAGAUUGGUGAUACCCAAAUCCACAGCAAGCUUAACUCCGACAUAUAUGCCCCAAAGUUCUGCCAUCGUGAUGCUACAUCGUCCAAUGUUCAUGCUAAACCCUGUGAUGUAGUCUCCUUCAGAGUUCCUCAAGAUGCCGCCGCAAGAACCUUGACUACCCAGUUGAAGGACCGAGCCGUCGUCAUUGAGCUUCACCCAAUUCUUCUCUAGUGGUUCCCAACCCACUUGCUCGUCUCUGAUUUAGGUUGUUGAAAAUUAAAUCAUUCCUACACCUCCAAAGGGUGUUACAGGCGGUUACGAAAAUAAUGGUCCAAGACUGACCAUUUUGGUGGUAUUGCGAGCGUAAGGACAAUCCCGCAAAACAUGGAGCAUGGUUUCCUCCUCCUCAUUACACCAUGGACAUCUAUCGUCAUCUGUAAGCCCUCUUCUCCUUCUAUUAGAAUUUUUUAGGAGAGCUUCAUGACUUAAGAGCCAGCUGAAAGCUUUUAGUCUCUGAGGGAUUUUAAUCUUCCAUACCUGUUUAUGAAUAUAGUUAGUUUCUCCAC